ensembl:lncRNA
AGCAUAUGCCCCUUUGCCCUUCCAGACUCCAAAGUGCUAUAUUACUGCUGUUUGUCUCUCUUGAGCCACCGUAACUGCAUCGCUUUAACACUUCAUCAAAAUAGUAUGAAUUAAUCGAAGAUAAAUCAUAUACAGUAUAUCAUUUUACGGGUUUUUUUCUGAGGAGGUCUUAGUUGCGCAAUUUUACAUCUAACCAAGAUGUUUGGUGCAGUAUUUCUCAAGUGACAAAAUGUGCAUGAAAACUAGUCGUCUCUCGUUGAAUGACAAACUUUGUUGAAGACUCCUUCCCCUAAUUCCCACUUCUACUAGGAGUAGUACUGCUAACCAAUCUCUUAUGAAGAGGCGGUAGACUCAAGAAAACUUGCCUCAAGAAAAACAGACGGGUGCAACUUUGCUUAACUGAGCUCAAGGCUAGAAAUCAACACAUCUGAAGAAAUAUAAAUGAAAAUGAAAGAUGCCAUCUCUUCUAGAAAGAGCCCAGAUGUUACAUCAUCCCGACAACCCUCAGGACAAGACGAGACACGUAGACUGAAACUGGGUGCGAGCAUCUCGAAAGAAGCCCUCGCGAUAGAGCAAAAGAGAGAGAGUAUAAAGUGUCUGUUUGAGGAGGAGGAGGGGAUCACCUGUGUCCCACAGCCAGGUGAUUUGGGAUGAGGCAACAACGAGGCCAUGGAAAGCCUGGAAAGCACUCUGGCCUCACUAUCCCACGGGAAUAUCGCAAGUCAUCCAU